AGAGUAGUGGUGUAGUGGUUAUCACGUCUGCCUCACACGCAGAAGGUCUUGGGUUCAAUCCCCAAUUACUCUA
rfam:Smittium mucronatum strain ALG-7-W6 scaffold-1645, whole genome shotgun sequence.